GCGUGCUUAACACAUGCAAGUCGAACGAACCUUCGGGUGAGUGGCGGACGGGUGAGUAACGCGUGGGAAUCUGCCCUCAGGAGGGGGAUAACGACUGGAAACGGUCGCUAAUACCCCAUAUGCCGAGAGGUGAAAUGAAUUUCGCCUGAGGAUGAGCCCGCGUCUGAUUAGCUAGUUGGUGGGGUAAGAGCCUACCAAGGCGACGAUCAGUAGCUGGUCUGAGAGGAUGAUCAGCCACACUGGGACUGAGACACGGCCCAGACUCCUACGGGAGGCAGCAGUGGGGAAUUUUCCGCAAUGGGCGAAAGCCUGACGGAGCAACGCCGCGUGAGGGAUGAAGGCCUCUGGGCUGUAAACCUCUUUUCUCAAGGAAGAAGAUCUGACGGUACUUGAGGAAUAAGCCACGGCUAAUUCCGUGCCAGCAGCCGCGGUAAUACGGGAGUGGCAAGCGUUAUCCGGAAUCAUUGGGCGUAAAGCGUCCGCAGGUGGCUUUGUAAGUCUGCCGUUAAAGCGUGGAGCUUAACUCCAUUUCAGCGGUGGAAACUACAAGGCUUGAGUGUGGUAGGGGCAGAGGGAAUUCCCGGUGUAGCGGUGAAAUGCGUAGAUAUCGGGAAGAACACCAGUGGCGAAGGCGCUCUGCUGGGCCAUAACUGACACUCAUGGACGAAAGCCAGGGAGCGAAAGGGAUUAGAUACCCCUGUAGUCCUGGCCGUAAACGAUGAACACUAGGCGUCGGGGGAAUCGACCCCCUCGGUGUCGUAGCCAACGCGUUAAGUGUUCCGCCUGGGGAGUACGCACGCAAGUGUGAAACUCAAAGGAAUUGACGGGGGCCCGCACAAGCGGUGGAGUAUGUGGUUUAAUUCGAUGCAACGCGAAGAACCUUACCAGGGUUUGACAUCCUGCGAACCCCUGAGAAAUCGGGGGGUGCCUUAGGGAACGCAGUGACAGGUGGUGCAUGGCUGUCGUCAGCUCGUGUCGUGAGAUGUUGGGUUAAGUCCCGCAACGAGCGCAACCCACGUCUUUAGUUGCCAGCAUUCAGUUGGGCACUCUAGAGAGACCGCCGGUGAUAAACCGGAGGAAGGUGUGGAUGACGUCAAGUCAUCAUGCCCCUUACAUCCUGGGCUACACACGUACUACAAUGCUACGGACAAAGGGCAGCGAACUCGCGAGGGCAAGCAAAUCCCAUAAACCGUAGCUCAGUUCAGAUCGUAGGCUGCAACUCGCCUACGUGAAGGAGGAAUCGCUAGUAAUCGCAGGUCAGCAUACUGCGGUGAAUACGUUCCCGGGCCUUGUACACACCGCCCGUCACACCAUGGAAGUUAGCCACGCCCGAAGUCGUUACUCCAACCC
rnacentral:rRNA from 1 species